UGCAGUCAAGUCAAAUUCAGCACCUACUCCUGUCGUAGCAGGGGCUGGCUCAGAUGGCUGCAACAGCAAGCUUUGCCAUAGUAGCUCAUAGGCCCCCGAUCCCCUGUCCUGGGGCCUGGGGAUCAGUUGGCUACAGACACUG